CGUAGGUGGCAAGCGUUGUCCGGAUUUAUUGGGUUUAAAGGGUGCGUAGGUGGCUAUUUAAGUCAGCGGUGAAAUAUCUCAGCUUAACUGAGAGGGUGCCAUUGAUACUGGAUAGCUUGAGUACAGAUGAGGUAGGCGGAAUUGACGGUGUAGCGGUGAAAUGCAUAGAUAUCGUCAAGAACACCGAUAGCGAAGGCAGCUUACCAAACUGUAACUGACACUGAAGCACGAAAGUGUGGGGAUCAAACAGGAUUAGAUACCCUGGUAGUCCACACUGUAAACGUUGAUGACUCGAUGUUGGCGAUACACAGCCAGCGUCCAAGAGCAAUCGUUAAGUCAUCCACCUGGGGAGUACGCCGGCAACGGUG
rnacentral:rRNA from 1 species